CGCCCCAUCUCAGGCCCGGUCAAAAGUCAAUACAACUUCUUAGAAGAGCCCUGUGUCGUUUACAUACAGACUUUCUUCACUUGCCAUGCAUGGGCUCAGAAUGUCACACACACACACACACACACACACACACACACACACACACACACACACACACACACACACACACACCAGGGCACACCCUGAGCUCCCCUGCUGUGGCCUCCAUGGCCUGUCGCAACUGUCAAGGGGCCCCCGUCUGGCGGGCUUGGGUCCGGCUCCCCCGCCGCCACCGUGAUUUAUUCGCCUCACUCGACGGAAUCAGCGAUUUCCUUUUCGUCCUGGAAGCAGAUUAA
rnacentral:lncRNA from 1 species